rnacentral:rRNA from 1 species
UACGGGGGGGGCAAGCGUUGUUCGGAAUUACUGGGCGUAAAGGGCGCGUAGGCGGCCUGCUAAGUCGGAUGUGAAAUCCCCGGGCUCAACCCGGGAACUGCGUCCGAUACUGGCAGGCUUGAAUCCGGGAGAGGGAUGUGGAAUUCCAGGUGUAGCGGUGAAAUGCGUAGAUAUCGGGAGGAACACCUGAGGCGAAGGCGGGCUACUGGGCCGAUACUGACGCUGAUGCGCGAAAGCCAGGGGAGCGAACGGG